rnacentral:sRNA from 1 species
GCCGGGCGUGGCGGCGUGCGCCUGUAGUCCCAGCUACUGGGGAGGCUGAGGCAGGAGAAUUGCUUGAACCUGGGAGGUGGAGGUUGCAGUGAGCCGAGAUCGCGCCACUGCACUCCAGCCUGGGUGACAGAGUGAUACUCUGUCUCAA